AUUGAACGCUGGCGGCAGGCCUAACACAUGCAAGUCGAGCGGAUGAAGGGAGCUUGCUCCUGGAUUCAGCGGCGGACGGGUGAGUAAUGCCUAGGAAUCUGCCUGGUAGUGGGGGAUAACGUCCGGAAACGGGCGCUAAUACCGCAUACGUCCUGAGGGAGAAAGUGGGGGAUCUUCGGACCUCACGCUAUCAGAUGAGCCUAGGUCGGAUUAGCUAGUUGGUGGGGUAAAGGCCUACCAAGGCGACGAUCCGUAACUGGUCUGAGAGGAUGAUCAGUCACACUGGAACUGAGACACGGUCCAGACUCCUACGGGAGGCAGCAGUGGGGAAUAUUGGACAAUGGGCGAAAGCCUGAUCCAGCCAUGCCGCGUGUGUGAAGAAGGUCUUCGGAUUGUAAAGCACUUUAAGUUGGGAGGAAGGGCAGUAAGUUAAUACCUUGCUGUUUUGACGUUACCAACAGAAUAAGCACCGGCUAACUGCGU
rnacentral:rRNA from 1 species